AGCAGUAGGGAAUCUUCCGCAAUGGGCGAAAGCCUGACGGAGCAACGCCGCGUGAGUGAUGAAGGUUUUCGGAUCGUAAAGCUCUGUUGCCAGGGAAGAACGUCUUGUAGAGUAACUGCUACAAGAGUGACGGUACCUGAGAAGAAAGCCCCGGCUAACUACGUGCCAGCAGCCGCGGUAAUACGUAGGGGGCAAGCGUUGUCCGGAAUUAUUGGGCGUAAAGCGCGCGCAGGCGGCUCUUUAAGUCUGGUGUUUAAUCCCGAGGCUCAACUUCGGGUCGCACUGGAAACUGGGAGCUUGAGUGCAGAAGAGGAGAGUGGAAUUCCACGUGUAGCGGUGAAAUGCGUAGAGAUGUGGAGGAACACCAGUGGCGAAGGCGACUCUCUGGGCUGUAACUGACGCUGAGGCGCGAAAGCGUGGGGAGCAAACAGGAUUAGAUACC
rnacentral:rRNA from 1 species